CUAAACUGUAGCAGGAGUAAACGUCUUGGCAUCGUGCAGAGUGAAUUCUUUACUGAAGAUGCCACUUCUUCUUUCACUUGAGUACAAUGCAAAGUUAACUUCCUUUAACCUCGAGGCAACACCUUUCUGAAUCACAGAAGUCCGGGAAAAGUGGAUGAUGUCGACCUUUCAGAGACGUCACGCGAUUGAGAAAACCCACACAACACACUGAUGUGAUUUGACCUUUGACCUCGACAUCUACCUUCACAGUAGGUCGUCCAGUGACAGAGAUGCUUUUAUCAACAGUCCAUGAAGACACACACUGGGAAGAAAAGCUGCUGCAGACAGAUAUAUGGCCAUGUUCUGUCUGCUGA